GAUCAAACUAUUAGACGUGAGAGUUGAUAAGUAACUACCGAAUCGGAAUACUGUCAUUGUACAGGAUCCAUAUUCGCUGCGAUAUCAGCUC
rnacentral:sRNA from 1 species